rnacentral:rRNA from 1 species
GACGAACGCUGGCGGCGUGCUUAACACAUGCAAGUCGAGCGGAGCGGCGAACGGGCGAGUAACGCGUGAGUACCUGCCCCCCUCUCCGUGAUAACAGUUGGAAACGGCUGCUAAUACCGGAUAGUGGGGGAUGACUCGCGUCCUGUCGGCUCGUUGGUUGGGUAGUGGCUUACCAAGGCGUCGCCGGGUAGCCGGCCUGAGAGGGCGACCGGCCACAUUGGGCUGGGGUACGGCCCAAAGUCCUACGGGGGGCAGCAGGGGGAAAUAUUGCACAAUGGGGGAAACCCUGAUGCGGGAACGUCGCGUGCGGGAGGAUGGCAUUCGGGUUGUAAACCGCUUUCAGCCAUGACGCGGUAGUGGCAGAAGAAGCACCGGCUAACUACGUGCCAGCCGCCGCGGUAAUAC